AUGGCGGAGGCCGCGGGCAGCAAGGCGGCGCAGCAGCAGCACCUCUGCUGCAGCAUCUGCGCGGAGCCGACGGCGCCGUCGGAGUUCCACCGCGGCGGCAGCGCCUGCGCGCACGCCUUCUGCGGGGCGUGCAUCACGGGCCACGUCCGCGCCAGGCUCGAGUCCGGUCCCGGCGCCGCCGCCGCCGUGCGGUGCCUGGACGCGUCCUGCGGCGGCAAUCUCGACCCGGAGCUGUGCCGCGCCGCGCUCCCGGCCGACGUGUUCGAGCGGUGGUGCGCCGCGCUGUGCGAGUCCAUGUUCGUCGGGGCGCGCAGGACCUACUGCCCCUUCCCCGACUGCUCGGAAAUGAUGGUGGCCGACGACGACGAGGAGGAGGACGAUGACGAGGAGGGUGAUGGUGGGAAGCCCGUGACGCAGUCGGAGUGCCAGGUGUGCAGGCGGCUGUUCUGCGCCCAGUGCGCCGUGCCGUGGCACGCGGACGUCGACUGCGCCGCGUACAAGAGAGGGGACAGGAGCAGGGAGGACCUGAUGCUGAUGGAGAUGGCCAGAGAGAAGAAGUGGAGGCGGUGCCCCAAGUGCGACUUCUUCGUGGCCAAACGAGAUGGCUGCCUUCACAUUAUCUGUAGGUGUGACUUUGAGUUCUGCUAUGGAUGUGGCGCUAAGUGGGGCUCUGCUGGGUGUUCUUGUGAUGACCAGGACCAUGAUGAGAGUGAGGAUGAAGAUGAUCUCGGGAUACAAUUACAAUUCCUGGAGGAAAAAAAGAUGAUGACGAUGCGUGCGGCGCCUGUGGCGACCGCCGCGAAGAUGGCGGCCUCCGCCGGCCCUGGGCGUAGGCACGUCGGCGGCCGGUUUUGGGCGCUUGCGGAUUCAGAGGAUGAAGAUGAUGACGACGGGAUCUGGGUCGGAGAUUCGCCGGAGUUGUAUUCGCCAACGACUUCCGACAUAAUCUGUGAAGCUUUCAAUCCCGGUUAUUCGGAGGAGGAAGUUGCCAUGGUUGUGGACGACGUCGUGCCUUGCAAUGAUCCGGCGCGGGAGGGACUUAACCCUGAGGAUAAGGUGGAGAUCGUUCGACGGAUUGUUCACCGGAGGACGGCGGCUUCCGCGCUCCGGCCAUGGAAAGGACCAAUUCCCAAGGUAUGCCUCCAGCCCAUUACUUUGUCGGAUUUCUUCCUGCCGGAUUCGUGGACGCGGGUGACUAGAAAGAAGAGACGGAAUGGCCGGCCGGUGGUGGCGCAGCCGGCGUCGGCAACCUCCGCGGCGGCUCAGAUACGAGCGGCCAGGGAGCAGCGUUUGAAUCUGCUGCUGGGCUUUCCUGGGCCGGCGGGUGAGCGGGCCUGCGUUGGCAUGUCUGGGUAUGUGGCCCAGCAUGCCAGCUGCGAGGCAGGGCGGGCCGGAUUGAACGAUCCUGGGCAUGAGGCCCAGAGGCCGAAGAAGAUGGUGGCUUUUGAAGGUGCUUUGACUGGGAGGCGAUUCCUGGGUUGUCCUGUGCAGCAGGAUGUAGGUGUGAACUGUGGGGUUGUGGAGUGGGUGGAUGGUCCUUGGCCAGAGAUUCUACAAAGGUGCCUAACAAGGAUUUGGGACAUGUACCAUGAGCAGAACUUGGGGAGGGUGCAGGACAAACAAGCCCAUGAGAAAGAGGUGGCCAAGCUACAGAAGGAAAUUGAUUUCCUGUCAAACAACUACAGCCAGUUGGUGGAAGAUUUAUCCAAGCUUUUUGACUAUCAAGAUGGCAAGAUGUCUCAUGACAUGGACUUUACCAGUCAGGAAAUCAAUGAUCUAAAUGCAAAGAAGAAGCAACUUGAGGAUCAAGCAAAGAUUGAGAUAAGUAUGGAAAAGAUGAAGCUUGCCAAGGAGCAAAGGUGCAUUCUUCAAAGCCAAGCAGAUAUCAUUCAGAACAUGAGGAAGGCCAUGAAGGAAGUGGAGGGGGACAGGGACCUACUUAAGAAAGAGAAGAAGAAGCUGGAGUAUCUGAUUGCUGAUCCGGUCAAUGCUGGGCAUGCCAGCAAAGAUAAGCUGGAGAGGAUCAAGGCAAUUAUGAAUGAGUGA
rnacentral:rRNA from 1 species